rnacentral:misc_RNA from 1 species
AGCAGCCGCGGUAAUUCCAGCUCCAAUAGCGUAUAUUAAAGUUGUUGCAGUUAAAAAGCUCGUAGUUGAAUUUCGGGAUUGACACAUCGGUCGUGCCUUAAGGGGUAUGAACUGGUGUAGUCAAUUUCUCACCUUCUGGAGAACCGCGAUGCCCUUAAUUGGGUGUCGCGGGGAACCAGGACCUUUACUUUGAAAAAAUUAGAGUGUUUAAAGCAGGCAUUUUGCUUGAAUACAUUAGCAUGGAAUAAUAAAAUAGGACGGCAUGAUUCUAUUUUGUUGGUUUCUAGGAUCACCGUAAUGAUUAAUAGGGAUAGUUGGGGGCAUUAGUAUUCAAUUGUCAGAGGUGAAAUUCUUGGAUUUAUUGAAGACUAACUACUGCGAAAGCAUUUGCCAAGGAUGUUUUCAUUAAUCAAGAACGAAAGUUAGGGGAUCGAAGACGAUCAGAUACCGUCGUAGUCUUAACCAUAAACUAUGCCGACUAGGAAUCAGACGAUGUAAUUUUUUAAUGACUCGUUUGGCA